UGGUACACGUUCGGUGGAGGAACCAGACUGGAUGUUGGAAGUGAUGUCCGUCCCACCCUGACGGUGCUGCCCCCCUCCAGCCAGGAGCUGCAGCAGGGGAAGGCCACGCUCACGUGUCUGGCCAACAAGGGCUUCCCCUCAGACUGGAGUCUGGCCUGGAAGGUGGACGGCAGCAGCAGCAGCAGCAGCAGCAGCAGCAGCUGGGAGCAGAGCAGGAGCCCCGGGGUGCUGCAGCAGGACGGCCACUACAGCUGGAGCAGCACCCUGAGGCUCACUGCAGACCAGUGGAGGAAGGUGGGCUCUGUGACCUGUGAGGCCACCCAGGGUUCCCAGUCUCCACUCUCAGAGACACUGAGGAGAGACCAGUGUUCCCAGUCCUGACCUGACUCACUGGGACUCUGCUACUGGUUUUACUCUGCUACUGCUCUCACUCUGAUCUCUGCAACUCUGUCUUUAACUCUCUCUGUCUCUUUAAAUGUUUCAGUAAUGAUGUUUCUUGCUUUUUGAUUUAAAUAUUUCAAAAAAAAUAAAGACGUGU